AGGAAACCCUCGUGUCGCGACCCACUGGCGUCUGGCUAAUCCGAUGGUAUUCGUCGCCGCAUUGUCCGUGAUCAAUAACUAAUUAUCAAAGUGGCAUUUCUUUUCAAGAGCUCCUUGUUAAAAAAUGGCUUUUGGCUGAGAGUGGAGGAAAAAGGUCGCCACUUUGACAUCGUUGCGAGUCUUUCAAAAUCCAGUGGGCCGUCCGAUUGAAUUACUGUCCCAAACUAAUUGAUAUAAAUUUGAACAGAAGAAUGCUUGUUACUACAGAAUGUCAUAAUGAUAUCCUUGGCAAGAGCAUGUCAGUGGGAAAAAAAAAAAAAGACCAGCACUAGUCACAAAGCAUUUAGACAAGUCGCAGCACAAGACUAUUCACAAAAUUAACAGGAACAAAAUUGUACACCAAUUUCUUCUUCCCAGCCAGUCUGAUCAGACAUUCAAGAAAGAAAAGCAUUAACAUUUUCUUUUGAACCUUAUCCUUCACUUGAAAACAGACUUUUAAAAAAUCUACUGUAAAAAUAUUUGCAAUAUACAAAGAACUGGAACUUGAUGAUAGUUGCAGAAGUCUCAUUGACUCUACGGGGAUCAUGAUUGUGCACAGAUGGACUGAUGCCAAUGGAACCAUGGAAUGUCUCUGGAUAUACAUUCACUGCGACUGAGGAAGAAAUGUUAAUGGGACAAUUUGGAUUGUAUCCAGUAAAGACACAAGGAGGUUCCAAAGGUGUCAUUAGUUACCAUGAUGAUUUGAAUGAGUUAAAGUUAUCUGUAUGAAGCUGAACCAGGGGAGUCAAGGAGGAAGGCUGUGGCAAGAUGGAAAACAUCACUAAAAGCCCAGGUGGGUGGAAGAGCCACUACACAAUGACUCCUCACUGAGUUACUCCUGUAUCCUUUACUAUCAACAAAAGAUUGAUCCAACAGUAGCAGGUGUAUUUAUUAUUUUAUUCUCACAGUAGGCUUUUCUCUCAGCAGCACUCAUGCCUCAGGUUCUUAAGACUUUACAUUAUAGCAUUGUUAGUUCGUGACUUAGACUUUUAAAUAUUUUAACAAAAUAUUUUCCCUCUACAUCCAGAUUACACUAAUUUUGUUUAAAAGUUGAAAUAAAAUGGUGCUUAGAGAAUAAGGCUAAGACAAAAGUUUCAUUUUAUUGACAUGUAGAAUGUCCUUUAGCCAUAUUAUUGUAGAAGAUUUCACCAUGAGCAAGAUCAUGAUCUUAUGCAGAAAGUACUAUGUGAUUGGUACUCUAAGACUAGCAUGCAUCCUUCACAGGCGAAGGGAAAUGCCACCCACAAAUCUGACACUAUGUAAAACCCACGCCAUUAGGUUUUUUUUGCAUCUACAUGCAUGCCCUGUGUGUAUAUAUAUGUACUGAACAGGGAUGUAUAUAUAUAUAUAUA